rnacentral:rRNA from 1 species
GACGAACGCUGGCGGCGUGCCUAAUACAUGCAAGUAGAACGCUGAAGAGAGGAGCUUGCUCUUCUUGGAUGAGUUGCGAACGGGUGAGUAACGCGUAGGUAACCUGCCUUGUAGCGGGGGAUAACUAUUGGAAACGAUAGCUAAUACCGCAUAACAAUGGAUGACACAUGUCAUUUAUUUGAAAGGGGCAAUUGCUCCACUACAAGAUGGACCUGCGUUGUAUUAGCUAGUAGGUGAGGUAAUGGCUCACCUAGGCGACGAUACAUAGCCGACCUGAGAGGGUGAUCGGCCACACUGGGACUGAGACACGGCCCAGACUCCUACGGGAGGCAGCAGUAGGGAAUCUUCGGCAAUGGGGGCAACCCUGACCGAGCAACGCCGCGUGAGUGAAGAAGGUUUUCGGAUCGUAAAGCUCUGUUGUAAGUCAAGAACGGGUGUGAGAGUGGAAAGUUCACACUGUGACGGUAGCUUACCAGAAAGGGACGGCUGACUACGUG